rnacentral:ncRNA from 1 species
ACGGUUCUAACGGCGCGAGGAAAAGCUCGGCCUCUGCGGCCGCAAAAAGCGGCGUGCGCGGACCUUCUCGGACGGGCGGAGCCCGGACCAGCGUCGGGGCCUUCCCGUGGAAUGCCUCAGCUGCGUGGCUCGGGGAAAUAAAAACGGGCGCGGUCGGCUGCUUGUCGCGGCGAACGUCGUUACCUCGCCCGUAAAACGGCGUGGGCGGCCAAGCCGUGGCUCGCUCCUUCCGUGCUCGUCCUCGGGCGCACUUCGUCCGGCGCCUAACAGCCGACUCAGAACUGGCACGGACCGGGGGAAUCCGACUGUCUAAUUAAAACAAAGCAUUGCGAUGGCCGAAGCUCGGUGUUGACGCAAUGUGAUUUCUGCCCAGUGCCCCGACACUGGGCGCCUCACGCGUUUUCGCACCAAAAGCAUAAUGCAGUUCUCGGACAUUUUUUACGCUUCAAAACGGGAGUCCUUC